rnacentral:lncRNA from 1 species
GGGAAAGAACCAGGGCUGAGCUGUGGAGGGAAGGGGAGCCAUUUCUCUCCACCGACUGCAACCUCCGUGCUCACAGCUCACGGUUCACCAGAAUCCAGGGGCUUGGUCGGCCUAGGAAUCCACAAUGCUGGAUAUUUUCAUCCUGAUGUUCUUUGCCAUCAUAGGCCUGGUCAUUCUGUCCUACAUUAUCUAUCUGCUCUAGUGGCCUGGAGCUGCGGCCGGAGCCUGCUGGAGAACAGCUCAGAAGGAAGGAUGGAGCUGAAUGGCCGAGUGCCCUGCUUGCUGACGCACCGGUGGAUUUUUGCUUCUGCUGUUAUCUCGGCUCCUGGUCUCUCCAGUCCAACAAGAGGCCUCUCAUCCACAGAAGCAGUCCUGCUGCCCAGCAGACCUCUUUCAGAGCCUUCCAGACAUGGCUGACCCCUGGCAAGCAAGGGGCUUUUUGAGCUGAGAGGCACUUGGCUGGGACAUCAGGAAUUCAUGGACAGGGCUGGCAGAUACUGCAUAUGUUUGAGCUGUAGAUGGGAUUGAGAACAGAAAGUUGAAAUGGAGACUUAUUAAAGUUACCGUGGAGAACUGCUCAAAAAUUCAUUUUGAAUUAAGGAAACUUAAAUUCAUUUUAAGUUUCCUUAGAUCUAAAUGCAACUGCACAUUACACUCAAAUAUGUUCCUUCCUUCUCACACACAGGACUCCCUUGUGAAACUCAAGGGGAAGUUCAAGUUGUCCAUCUUCAUCUAUGAAGUAGUCACUUUAUCACUGUCUUUACAGAUUGCACAGUCUGGGGUUUUGUGGUUUCUCUUGUCUUACUCUCCAGCCAGGAAGAACUUGUCAUUUGAGUUUUUAAAAUGUAUCAUUUCUUCCCGACCUCAAACCACUUGUAUCCCAGUUUCUCAUUUAAAGGGAGAAAUGGUUAUAUAGUCCUCUCUUUGCACCUGAUUGAAUUAUAAAUGAUAGAAACAAGAUGGCUAUACUUAUUUAGGAAAAAUCUCUUACCCCAAAAUGAGUGUGUGUGUGUGUGUGUGUGUGUGUGUUUGUAAUCAAAGAUCUUUUCUGGAAAAAACUUUCCACAUAGUUCUCUGACCCAUUAGAGUUGAAGAAACUAUAUAUUUUGGGAUUCAGAGUAGAAUUGGCCUGCAAAUCUGGGAUGUUUAUUCCUUUUACAAGUCUAUAAUAAUUGUUCUACAUUUAAUUUUCCUUUCUUGCUUAAAAGUAAACAAGGAGAGUCAGGAGUGGUGGCUCAUGCCUGUAAUCCCAGCACUCUGGGAGGCCGAGGCGGAUGGAUCACCUGAGGUCAGGAGUUGGAGACCAGCCUGGCCAACACGGUGAAACCCCAUCUCUACUAAAAAUACAAAAAUUAGUCAGGCACAGUAGUGCGCGCCUGUAGUCCCAGCUACCCGGGAGGCUGAGGCCGAAGAAUUGCUUGAACCCGGGAGGCAGAGGUUGUAGUGAGCCAACAUCAUGUCACUGCACUCCAGCCUGGGAGACAUAGCGAGACUCCGUCUCAAAUAAAAUAAAAUAAAUAAAUAAAUAAACAAGGAGAAAGAUUAGUUUUUAGUAAUAACAUUGUGUCCAAUUUCCAUGUUUUAAAACAAAAAUUGAGGCAUUAUAUGUCACAAUUGAAAUGGAAAAGUUGUGUUUAAAAAUUAUGGACAAGGCCAGGCACAGUGGCUCACGCCUGGAAUCCCAGCACUUUGGGAGGCUGAGGCAGGAGGAUCACUUGAGGUCGGGAGUUUGAGAACAGUCUGACCAACGUGGUGAAACCCUGUCUCUACUAAAAAUACAAAAAUUAGCUGGUGUGGUGGCAGGUGCCUGUAAUCCCAGCUACUCAGGAGGCUGAGGCAGGAGAAUCGCUUGAACCUGGGAGGCGGAGGUUGCAGUGAGCCGAGAUCACACCUCUGCACUCCAGCCUAGGUGACACAGCAAGACCCCAUCUCAAAAAAAAAAAAUAAUAAAAACAUAAAAAUUAUGGACAAGAAAAAACACUAUUCUGGAAGCUUUGUUUUGGCAACAAAUUAUAUGACCUUUCAUAAGUCAUUUAAACUUUAGGGCUAGGCCAGGUGCUAUGGUGCAUGCCUAUAAUCCCAGCAUUUAGGGAAGUAGAAGCAGGAGGAUAGCUUGAGGCCAAGAAUUCCAGACCAGCCCAGGCAAUAUAGCGAGACCCCCAUCUCCACAAAAAUAAAAAAUAAAAUAAAAAUAAAUAAAUACAUAAACUUUAGGUCUUCUGUUUAUUCUGUCAAAUGAAAGUGUUAGGCCAAGGUCGCAUUAUCUCUUUGGAAACUACAUCGAGAACAGAAUUCCCAUGGAACGAUCUCUUAAUAGUUCACUGGUAGUCUCCCUUUUCUGAAUAUUCUCCCCAACAUGACAUUUUAUAACAAAAAUUUAACUGCAAAACUCUUUUUUUUUUCACCAACAGCCAGAUUUUGAUGAGAAAAUGGCCAUAUUUAUUUACUCCAAAUAUAUAUUAUGUCUGUGAUAAUUUGCCUAAACUGUUUAAGGAAUAUUAACAAGUAUGAUACUGCAUCGUGGUAUGUAGCAAAAAGAUAGGUAAUCUGACAUUCAUGGAUGCAAGAAGCAUGGCUGUGAACCUGGAUAUAUUUAGAAAUGAUCUUCAGUGGAGUCCUUGAUGUGACAUUUUCCACUAAAACAUUCUUCUAACUCUGGUAUAUCUUAGUGUUUCGAACUAUAAUUUCCGUCUUCAAGCCAAGACAGCAGCUCUACAUCCUUACCUAGGUAAUUCAGGCAUGCGCCAGUAUUUUGGAGGGGUCCAAAUUAGAGUUAGUUAUGAUGGUAUAGAUCUUUAAAGUAUAGUCUAACCAAGCUUGCUCUGGUCUUUUGUGACAUCAAGGCUUCUCAGUCUGUAUUCAUACAAAGUUGAAACAACUAAUCAAUUCAGUGAAAAAAAAUCAGCAGAUUUCACUCAUACACUGGUGAUAUAUACCACUGGUAUUGGGUACAAUGUAAGGAGAGAGGAUUACCCAUCUCUUCAGUUACUUGUAAAAUAUGAUUUAAAAAAAAUAAAUCAAUACAUUUUGGAAAAAAUGUAUGACUUUGUGCUUAUAUUUAUGCAACAAUAUGCUAGCUUAUAACAGGGUUUUACUGUGUUAUUUUGAUAGUUGUUUAACUUUUACAUUUAAACUACUUGUAUUUUGGCAUCCCAAAACAUAAUAAAACACUGCAAAAAGUUACUUCUGUAAUAUAAGAUUUUGUAUAAAUUUUAUAAAUUUGUGUCAUAGG